rnacentral:rRNA from 1 species
AUUGAACGCUGGCGGCAUGCCUUACACAUGCAAGUCGAACGGCAGCACGGGAGCAAUCCUGGUGGCGAGUGGCGAACGGGUGAGUAAUAUAUCGGAACGUGCCCGGUCGUGGGGAUAACGUAGCGAAAGCUACGCUAAUACCGCAUACGAUCUACGGAUGAAAGCGGGGGAUCGCAAGACCUCGCGCGAUUGGAGCGGCCGAUAUCAGAUUAGGUAGUUGGUGAGGUAAAGGCUCACCAAGCCGACGAUCUGUAGCUGGUCUGAGAGGACGACCAGCCACACUGGGACUGAGACACGGCCCAGACUCCUACGGGAGGCAGCAGUGAGGAAUAUUGGACAAUGGGCGCAAGCCUGAUCCAGCCAUGCCGCGUGCAGGAUGACGGUCCUAUGGAUUGUAAACUGCUUUUAUACAGGAAGAAACACUCCGACGUGUCGGAGCUUGACGGUACUGUAAGAAUAAGGAUCGGCU